UCAACCCGCGGUCUUUUUUACAUCAACGCGGUGGCUGGAGCGGCUGGGGGAGCGGCAGAUCUGUGCACGGCAGGGGCUGGGGUGGCGGAUCGGGUGGCGGGCGGCGAGGCAGGGGUGGUCAGUGAUGAUGAGGAAGGCCAGAGCGUGGCUUCCCGGGCGGAUCCAUGGCAGAAAAGAGACAGGGUGGUGAGGAAGAGAAGAUGGGAGAAAAGAGGGGCGGUGUGGUGACCCAGGCAUGCUCGCCGGAGCCGGGUCAUGGCAGACGGGCGCGGGAGACGGAAGGAUCUAGCAUGACAGCGCGAAGUCCUUGUAGUUGGAGGCAGGCCUCCAUGGCCACAGCGACCCCUCCCCUUCUCUCCGUGGCCACGGCAGCUCAGGCAGGGGUCAAAUCCGCCCUCCCUCCCUCAUUCCUCACGCUGGAUAACCUAGCCGCCAGGCCAUGGUGACCGACGGUGAUCAUGACGGUGGUGGCUACCUCGACGACGGCGGCACACACCCAACAUCGCCAUGGACCAGUAGCUCAAGCAUUUUUCUUCCUGAUGGUGAUGGGGUUCCAUCACCAUAUUCAGGUCGUCAUCCUUGAGGCCUCCACCAUCUGCAGGUCUUCCUUCUUUUCUUCUCCUCUCUGUUGGAUUCCAUUGGAUUCUCUGCUCUGCAGGUGAAGCUCUAUCUAUUCUCUACUACAGUGUCUACAGUGGACUGUUUGCACCUUCUGUGCAAAUACCUGAUUGUAUAUGGAUUGAAUGGAUGGAUAGAUUGCAGGGUCUACAAUGCACCACCUUGAUUUGAUUCGGUCUGGAGCAGCAGCAUCAGCUCCUUCCUUCCGUCUCAACCAUCUGUAUUUACAUUACUACUGUAACAUUCUGAAAUGUAAAUUAUGCUAGGACAAUUCCUCUUUAGCUUUAACUAUGAUAUUCCUAAAUGCGCAAGUAAAUACUACUGGGAUUACAACUACAAAAAAAUACAUGACAUGCGAGCAAUUCUCGGUUUAAAUACUGCGAGCUUAAAUAACAGGAGCUAAACUGUUGUGCUAUGUUCAGAAUUGGUACUAGCAAAGAUAAUCUAAACUGCACAUUCUGAAAGUAUAUUUGACUCUUUCCCUCGGGAAAUUAGUCUUCUAAGCAUUACUUUGUAAAUGAAUGACAUGAUAACUUGUUGGUUCAGUUUAAAGCUAUAGGCAGAGGCUUGCGUUAGGGGGACAAUCACUGCCAGUUGAAAACCAAAACUUAUAUUUGUGAGUAUGAUCGGGACUGUGCUUUUCUGAAAGUAUGUUAGCCAAUGUUUGUAUAUCUUUCAAUUACUUCUGAACAAAAAAGAUGUAGUGCCAUGGUAAGUUUGGAUGUAGAUUUGCAAUUUAACCUGCUUUGCAGCUCCUUUUUGUCUUGCUACAACAAUGGCUUGCCUUAGUGGUUCCGGGGUCAUGAACUUACAUGGGCUUCCUCUUCCUUCAUGUAUUAGAUAUGGAGUCCACGCUGCUUAGAUUUUCUAAAAUUUAUCUUCAUUUCUACAACUUUUCUUGUCAAUGAACUUUACGGCUAUUUGGUCAUGUAUUUGACUACUUAUAUUUUUUUAUUUCCUAAUUGUGCACUUAGUCUGCAUAAAAUUCAUUAGCACAUAUUUCCUUGCAAUUAUACUAAAUUUCUGUUUGCAUCCUUUUACCAUUUUGGUGGAAUGUAAACAUUGGUUAAGAUGUAGUUUGAUAUUUUUCUAGGCGCAAGUUAUCAGGCUCUUCCAGUCCAGGGGCAACCAGGCCCGAGUCACCAUUAUCCUGAUGUUGCCAGGAUGGGCGGCGGCAGCGGACAGACCAAUGCACCUUGCGGCGAUAUCUACGCUAGGGAGUGUGUUGUUGCCGGCCACCACAAUAACAACCUGUGUUGUGUCGAUUUUAGAUUCUUUGGUGACGAAUUGGACUACAUCCCACUGAAGGCCACUUAUCCUGCUCAUGAGCGAGGCUACUUAAAAACAAUCCUUGGUGACUGAUAUGUUCUUUGUCAUGUCAUGUAUGUAGUUCCACCGACCUCAUAUUGGAUCAGAGUGUUUUGUACAGGAUUCUUGUGGCGAAUUCUUGAAGAAACAAAAUCAUUCUUCAAGAUGAUGUUUUUCAAGCUCUGAAUAGUGAUUAUCUUUGUUCUAUAGUA